CACGCCGUAAACGAUGAAUACUAGGUGUAGGGGGUAUCGACUCCCUCUGUGCCGCAGCUAACGCAAUAAGUAUUCCACCUGGGGAGUACGGCCGCAAGGUUGAAACUCAAAGGAAUUGACGGGGGCCCGCACAAGCAGUGGAUUAUGUGGUUUAAUUCGAAGCAACGCGAAGAACCUUACCAGGACUUGACAUCCCUUGACCGCUUAAGAGAUUAAGCUUCCCUUCGGGGCAAGGAGACAGGUGG
rnacentral:rRNA from 1 species